AGAGUUUGAUCCUGGCUCAGGAUAAACGCUGGCGGCGUGCCUAACACAUGCAAGUCGAACGCUCUGCGCAAGCAGGGAGUGGCGGACGGGUGAGGAACACGUGGGUAUCUACCCAAAGGUGAGGAAUACCGGCGAGAAAUCGCCGACAAGACCGCAUAGGCUUCUCUUGGGGGAAGCAAAGCUCGUAAGAGCGCCAUUGG
rnacentral:rRNA from 1 species